CACGGGGGGAGCAAGCGUUGUUCGGAAUCACUGGGCGUAAAGGGCGCGUAGGCGGCCAUUCAAGUCGGGGGUGAAAUCCUGGAGCUCAACUCCAGAACUGCCUUCGAUACUGGCGAUCUCGAGUUCGGGAGAGGUGAGUGGAACUGCGAGUGUAGAGGUGAAAUUCGUAGAUAUUCGCAAGAACACCAGUGGCGAAGGCGGCUCACUGGCCCGAUACUGACGCUGAGGUGCGAAAGCGUGGGGAGCAAACAGG
rnacentral:rRNA from 1 species